rnacentral:rRNA from 1 species
GGCCUACGGGGGGCAGCAGUAGGGAAUUUUCGUCAAUGGGCGCAAGCCUGAACGAGCGAUGCCGCGUGAGUGAAGAAGGCCUUCGGGUCGUAAAGCUCUGUUGCGGGGGAAAAAAGGCAGCAUCAGGAAAUGGGUGCUGACUGAUGGUGCCCCGCCAGAAAGUCACGGCUAACUACGUGCCAGCAGCCGCGGUAAUACGGAGGAUGCGAGCGUUAUCCGGAUUUAUUGGGUUUAAAGGGUGCGCAGGCGGGAGAUCAAGGCAGCGGUAAAAUGUCGGGGCUCAACCCCGGCCGGCCGUUGAAACG